rnacentral:rRNA from 1 species
GACGAACGCUGGCGGCGUGCCUAAUACAUGCAAGUUGAGCGCUGAAGGUUGGUACUUGUACCAACUGGAUGAGCAGCGAACGGGUGAGUAACGCGUGGGGAAUCUGCCUUUGAGCGGGGGACAACAUUUGGAAACGAAUGCUAAUACCGCAUAAAAACUUUAAACACAAGUUUUAAGUUUGAAAGGUGCAAUUGCAUCACUCAAAGAUGAUCCCGCGUUGUAUUAGCUAGUUGGUGAGGUAAAGGCUCACCAAGGCGAUGAUACAUAGCCGACCUGAGAGGGUGAUCGGCCACAUUGGGACUGAGACACGGCCCAAACUCCUACGGGAGGCAGCAGUAGGGAAUCUUCGGCAAUGGACGAAAGUCUGACCGAGCAACGCCGCGUGAGUGAAGGAGGUUUUCGGAUCGUAAAACUCUGUUGGUAGAGAAGAACGUUGGUGAGAGUGGAAAGCUCAUCAAGUGACGGUAACUACCCAGAAAGGGACGGCUAACUACGUG